ACGGAGCAAGCAAUUAAGGGUAGAUGGUGGAUGCCUUGGCACCAACAGGCGAUGAAGGACGUGGCGUAACUGCGAUAAGCUUCGGGGAGGUGUGUAGCAACCUUUGAUCCGAAGAUUUCCGAAUGGGGCAACCUAUCACGGCAAACCCGUGAUGCCGCACGUGUUAACCAUGUGUGCGGAGCAUACCUGGGGAAGUGAAACAUCUCAGUACCCAGAGGAAAAGAAACUAAUAAGCAUUCCCUAAGUAGCGGCGAGCGAAAGGGGAGAAGCCCAAACUGAAUGUUGUAAAAAAUAUUCAGGGUUGAUUGAACCGUCUUUGAGCUGUGAAGCUUCAAGCUUGAGGGAAGAGUAAAAAAUUCAUUGGCUAGUCGAAGUUCCUGGAAAGGAGCGUCAUAGAGGGUGAUAACCCCGUAGGCGAAAGCUGAUGGACUCUUCAGUUUAAUCUAGAGUAGCCCGAGGUAAAAAAGCUUCGGGUGAAUACAGGAGUACUAUCUCCUAAGGCUAAAUACUUUUGGUGACCGAUAGUGAACUAGUACCGCGAGGGAAAGGUGAAAAGCAGCCCGACAAGGGCGAUGAAAUAAUGCCUGAAACCAUCUACUUACAAGGAACCGGAGCCUUAUGGCCUUUUCGCAAGAUUGGGUCCGGGUGACGGUGUGCCUAUUGAAGAAUGAGCCAACGAGUUUACGUAUGCCGCAAAGUUUAAUUCCGCUAAGCGGAAGAAGGCGUAGCGAAAGCGAGUCUUAAUAGGGCGUCACUUUAUUAUCUCACGCGUCAGAAUGUAAAUUCUGGAGCGCGAGGUGAUAUUGUUAGCGGCAUGUGUAAGACCCGAAACCGGAUGAGCUUGCCCUGGCCAGGGUGAACCCUCUAGAAAUAGAGGGGGAGGCCCGCACUGGUGAAUCGUUCAAAAUUCUCAGAUGAGCUGGGGUAAGGAGUGAAAAACUAAUCGAAUUCGGUAAUAGCUGGUUCUCUCCGAAAUAGUUUUAGGACUAGCCUCACGUGUUUCGUUCCGGAGGUAGAGCACUGGAUGAUCGUCAAAGGGCGAAAGCUCGGACAAUCAAUCAAACUCCGAAUGCCGGAACGUAUGAGCGUGGGAGUCAGGCUGUGGGGGCUAAGCUCCAUGGCCGCGAGGGGAAGAGCCCAGACCGCCGAUUAAGGUCCCUAAAUUUCUGCUAAGUGUAAAAGGUAGUGUAUCCCCAUUAACAGAUAGGAGGUUGGCUUAGAGGUAGCCAUCCUUUAAAGAGUGUGUAACAACUCACUAUUCGAGG
rnacentral:rRNA from 1 species